rnacentral:rRNA from 1 species
GACGGAGGAUGCAAGUGUUAUCCGGAAUCACUGGGCGUAAAGCGUCUGUAGGUGGUUCAAUAAGUCAACUGUUAAAUCUUGAGGCUCAACUUCAAAAUCGCAGUCGAAACUAUUGGACUCGAGUAUAGUAGGGGUAAAGGGAAUUUCCAGUGGAGCGGUGAAAUGCGUAGAGAUUGGAAAGAACACCAAUGGCGAAAGCACUUUACUGGGCUAUUACUGACACUGAGAGACGAAGGCUAGGGUAGCAAAUGGG